rnacentral:rRNA from 1 species
CCUACGGGAGGCAGCAGUGGGGAAUAUUGGACAAUGGGCGAAAGCCUGAUCCAGCCAUGCCGCGUGUGUGAAGAAGGCCUUCGGGUUGUAAAGCACUUUCAGUGGGGAAGAAAGCCUUGGGGCUAAUACCCUCGAGGAAGGACAUCACCCACAGAAGAAGCACCGGCUAACUCCGUGCCAGCAGCCGCGGUAAUACGGAGGGUGCGAGCGUUAAUCGGAAUUACUGGGCGUAAAGCGCGCGUAGGCGGUCUGAUAAGCCGGUUGUGAAAGCCCCGGGCUCAACGUGGGAACGGCAUCCGGAACUGUCAGGCUAGAGUGCAGGAGAGGAAGGUAGAAUUCCCGGUGUAGCGGUGAAAUGCGUAGAGAUCGGGAGGAAUACCAGUGGCGAAGGCGGCCUUCUGGACUGACACUGACGCUGAGGUGCGAAAGCGUGGGUAGCAAACAGGAUUAGAUACCCGUGUAGUC